AACGAACGCUGGCGGCAUGCCUAACACAUGCAAGUCGAACGAUGCUUUCGGGCAUAGUGGCGCACGGGUGCGUAACGCGUGGGAAUCUGCCCUUGGGUUCGGAAUAACAGUGAGAAAUUGCUGCUAAUACCGGAUGAUGUCUUCGGACCAAAGAUUUAUCGCCCAGGGAUGAGCCCGCGUAGGAUUAGCUAGUUGGUGGGGUAAUGGCCUACCAAGGCGACGAUCCUUAGCUGGUCUGAGAGGAUGAUCAGCCACACUGGGACUGAGACACGGCCCAGACUCCUACGGGAGGCAGCAGUGGGGAAUAUUGGACAAGGGGCGCAAGCCUGAUCCAGCAAUGCCGCGUGAGUGAUGAAGGCCUUAGGGUUGUAAAGCUCUUUUACCCGGGAUGAUAAUGACAGUACCGGGAGAAUAAGCUCCGGCUAACUCCGUG
rnacentral:rRNA from 1 species